UACGUAGGGAGCAAGCGUUGUUCGGAUUUACUGGGCGUAAAGGGCGCGUAGGCGGCAAUUCAAGUCACUUGUGAAAUCUCCGGGCUUAACUCGGAACGGUCAAGUGAUACUGCUUUGCUAGAGUGCGGAAGGGGCAAUCGGAAUUCUCGGUGUAGCGGUGAAAUGCGUAGAUAUCGAGAGGAACACCUGAGGUGAAGACGGGUUGCUGGGCCGACACUGACGCUGACAGCGCGAAAGCCAGGGGAGCAAACGGGAUUAAGAAC
rnacentral:rRNA from 1 species